rnacentral:rRNA from 1 species
UACGGAGGGUGCAAACGUUGCUCGGAAUCAUUGGGCGUAAAGAGCGUGUAGGCGGCCCGGUAAGUCCGCUGUGAAAGUCCAGGGCUCAACCCUGGGAUGCCGGUGGAUACUGUCGGGCUCGAGUCCGGAAGAGGAGUGUGGAAUUCCUGGUGUAGCGGUGAAAUGCGCAGAUAUCAGGAGGAACACCAAUGGCGAAGGCAGCACUCUGGGACGUGACUGACGCUGAGACGCGAAAGCGUGGGGAGCAAACAGG